GACGAACGCUGGCGGCGCGCUUAACACAUGCAAGUCGAACGGAAGGGCGAUGGCUUGGUGUGGUGAUCGAGUGGCGAACGGGUGAGUAACGCGUGAGUAACCUGCCUUUGGGUGUGGGAUAACUGCUGGAAACUGCGGCUAAUACCGGAUAAGAGCACGUUCCGCAAGGGGGGGGUUGGAAAGUGUCGGCGGUUGGGUGUGGUGUCGUGGCGUCUCAGCUUGUAGGUGGGGUAGUGGUUGCCCAAGGCUUUGACGGGUGGUAGGCCGGGGGGGGUGAUGGGCCCCAUUGGGACUGAGAUGCGGCCCAGACUCCUCCGGGAGGGAGCAGAGGGGUAUAUAGCACUAUGGGCGGAAGCAUGAUGCAGCAAAGCCGCGUGGGGGAUGACAGCAAUCGGGUUGUAUUCCGCUUUCGCCUGUUACGAAGCGUGAGUGACGGUAAUGGGUAAAGAAGCACCGGCUAACUACGUG
rnacentral:rRNA from 1 species